rnacentral:rRNA from 1 species
GACGAAGGGGGCUAGCGUUGUUCGGAAUUACUGGGCGUAAAGCGCGUGUAGGCGGUUAUCCAAGUCGGGUGUGAAAGCCUUGAGCCCAACUCAAGAAAUGCACUCGGUACUGGGUGACUAGAGGACCGGGAGAGGAUAGUGGAAUUCCCAGUGUAGUGGUGAAAUACGUAGAGAUUGGGAAGAACACCAGUGGCGAAGGGCGGCUAUCUGGGCGGUUUCUGACGCUAAGACGCGAAAGCGUGGGGAGACAAGCAGU